rnacentral:rRNA from 1 species
AACGAACGCUGGCGGCGCGCCUAAUACAUGCAAGUCGAGCGAGAAGACGUAGCAAUACGUUUGUAAAGCGGCGAACGGGUGAGGAAUACAUGGGUAACCUACCCUCGAGUGGGGAAUAACUAGCCGAAAGGUUAGCUAAUACCGCGUACGCUCCUUGGACUUCGGUUCAGGGAGGAAAGCGAUACCGUGGGUAUCGCGCUCUUGGAUGGGCUCAUGUCCUAUCAGCUUGUUGGUGAGGAACGGCUCACCAAGGCUUCGACGGGUAGCUGGCCUGAGAGGACGAUCAGCCACACUGGCACUGCGACACGGGCCAGACUCCUACGGGAGCAGCAGUAAGGAAUAUUGCGCAAUGGGCGAAAGCCUGACGCAGCGACGCCGCGUGGGGGAUGAAGGUCUUCGGAUU